rnacentral:rRNA from 1 species
UACGUAGGGUCCAAGCGUUGUCCGGAAUUAUUGGGCGUAAAGAGCUCGUAGGCGGUGUGUCGCGUCGGAUGUGAAAGCCCGGGGCUUAACCCCGGGUCUGCAUUCGGUACGGGCAUGCUGGAGUUCGGUAGGGGAGACUGGAAUUCCUGGUGUAGCGGUGAAAUGCGCAGAUAUCAGGAGGAACACCGGUGGCGAAGGCGGGUCUCUGGGCCGAUACUGACGCUGAGGAGCGAAAGCGUGGGGAGCGAACGGG